rnacentral:rRNA from 1 species
UACGUAGGGGGCAAGCGUUGUCCGGAAUCAUUGGGCGUAAAGAGCGUGUAGGCGGCCCGGUAAGUCCGCUGUGAAAGUCCAGGGCUCAACCCUGGGAUGCCGGUGGAUACUGUCGGGCUCGAGUCCGGAAGAGGAGUGUGGAAUUCCUGGUGUAGCGGUGAAAUGCGCAGAUAUCUGGAGGAAUACCGGUGGCGAAGGCGGCAUCCUGGACCGAGAUUGACGCUGAACGGCGAAAGCUAGGGGAGCAAAGCGGG